rnacentral:rRNA from 1 species
ACGAGAAUAUUCCGCAAUGGACGAAAGUCUGACGGAGCGACGCCGCGUGAUGGAUGAAGUGCUUCGGCACGUAAACAUCUUUUAUGUGGGAUGAAAUUAUUGACAGUACCACAUGAAUAAGGGGCUCCUAACUCUGUGCCAGCAGGAGCGGUAAUACAGAGGCCCCAAGCGUUAUCCGGAAUCACUGGGCGUAAAGGGUGUCGAGGCGGUUGUAUUAGUCGUUCGUAAAAUCUACGAGCUUAACUUGUAGGCGGCGAACGAAACGGUACGACUUGAGGUUUGGAGAGGUGCGUGGAACUCACGGUGUAGGGGUGAAAUCCGUUGAUAUCGUGGGGAACACCAAAGGCGAAGGCAGCGCACUGGCCAAAAUCUGACGCUCACACACGAAAGCUAGGGUAGCGAAGAGGAUUAGAUACCCAUGUAGUCCCUGAGCGGGCUGGCAAGGCGCAU